UCCAACGGAUUAUUCUUCUAACACAACGGAUAGUGUUCCCGAAUUUUAUUUUUUUUUUAUUUUUCAGUUGGAGCUAAUCCAACGGAUCAGUGGAGCUAAUCCAAUGGAUCAGCCCCCAAAAAAAAAAAAAAGGAAAAAAGAAUAAGACCUAAUACAACGGAUAAGUCAAAAAAAAAAAAAAAAAAACCCCCGAGAAAUGCUGAAAUAUUAGAGCCAAAAAUGAAAUUGAAACCCCUUUCCCAAACUUCUCAUCAGUCUUCCUUCGUUCUCCUCCUAGCUCGCUGCUGGUCCUUCCUUUGUUCUCCUCCCUCGCCGCUGCUUCGUGCUCGAAUCUCUAUUUAAGAAAUGAGUUAGAUGAAUUAAUCUUAGGUGCACUGAUGAACUACAACGUUCUCUAUCUUAAAAUUGGAAUCUUGAAGCUAUUUCUUGUCAGGUACUUUCUACCAGAUUAAGGGGGGUAAAGCAAAAGCUUCUGAUUCCCAAAGUCAGCUUCCAGACUAUGAGUUACAAAGGCUCCAAAAAUUGAAGUAUAAUGCUGAAAGAAUGUAAGCCCAAGGAUCGGGAUCCUUGGCGAAUAAGAUACUGCAACAAAAAACACGCGACAUACUUUGUUCGAGUGUGAGGCAAACAGAUGAUGGCUCCUCAGGAGAUUCUGAUAUGGAACAGGAAACUCUUGGUACUUGAAAAAUACAAGUAUAUGAAAAGGUCUCUUUUCAACAACAUCAAGUUCCCACACGGGAAAUUCAAAGGAAGCAGCAAGAAUAGCAAUUGGGGUCAACAAAGGCAUCUGUGAAGAAAAGAGCGUUCUGUUCUCCUGGCUCAAUGUCAGCGUACCUCGAGUUUUGGAAACGACAAAAAGAUGAAGCGCUGAUGAUGAGCAGUGAGGUGCCUGAACAAGGGCAAAAUUAUGAUGAUGAGCAGCUGAAUGAGACCGCUGAUGCUCUUCAGGAAGAUUGUGAGGGCAAUGAAGCAGCGGACCGAGCAGUUAUAGCACAGUUUGGAAUGGAAGAAACAUCAAGAGAAUUGUCCUCCAAAACGAAAAAACGAGGUCGAACAAUGCUCCAAAGAGUUCACGCAUGUUCAAGAGAGGAGCGUCAUGUGAUUGUUCUGAACUCAUUAGGUCAGCCAGUUGCACCUACAAAGGAGAUUGUGCAAGAGUUCAAGUUUUUUUUGGGAAUGGUGGCAAGGGAUUCCGAACUUGCACCGCUUAACUAUAGAAAUUUUCCAAGCCUACCGACACU